rnacentral:rRNA from 1 species
GACGAACGCUGGCGGCGUGCUUAACACAUGCAAGUCGAACGGAAAGGCCCUGCUUUUGUGGGGUGCUCGAGUGGCGAACGGGUGAGUAACACGUGAGUAACCUGCCCUUGACUUUCGGCUAUCUUCAGGAAACUGGGGCUAAUACCGGAUAGGAGCUCCUGCUGCAUGGUGGGGGUUGGCAAGUUUCGGCGGUUGGGGAUAGACUCGCGGCAUAUCAGCUUGGUGGGGGGGUAGUGGCUUACCAAGGCUUGGACGGGUAGCCGGCCUGGGAGGGUGGACGGACACAUUAGGACGGAGAUACGGCCCAGACUCCUACGGGAGGCAGCAGUGGAGAAGAGUGCACAGUGGGCGGAAGCCAGAUGCGGCGACGCCGCGUGCGGGAUAACGGCCUUCGUGUUGUAAACCGCUUUCGCCUGAGACGGAGCGUUAGUGACGGUAAUGGGUAAAGAAGCACCGGCUAACUACGUG